rnacentral:rRNA from 1 species
GUGGGGGAUAUUGGUCAAUGGGGGAAACCCUGAACCAGCGACGCCGCGUGAGGGAAGAAGGUCUUCGGAUUGUAAACCUCUGUUGUGUGGGAAGAAGGAAGUGACGGUACCACACGAGGAAGUCCCGGCUAACUACGUGCCAGCAGCCGCGGUAAUACGUAGGGGACGAGCGUUGUCCGGAAUUACUGGGCGUAAAGGGCGCGUAGGCGGUCAUUUAAGUCAGCUGUGAAAUGGUCCGGCUCAACCGGAUCAUGCGGUUGAAACUGGAUGACUGGAGUGCUGGAGAGGCAAGUGGAAUUCCCAGUGUAGCGGUGAAAUGCGUAGAUAUUGGGAAGAACACCGGUGGCGAAGGCGACUUGCUGGCCAGCAACUGACGCUGAGGCGCGAAAGCCAGGGGAGCAAACGGGAUUAGAAACCCUGGUAGUCC